rnacentral:rRNA from 1 species
UACGGAGGGUGCGAGCGUUGCCCGGAAUCACUGGGCGUAAAGGGCGCGUAGGUGGCCCGGUCAGCGUGCGGUGAAAGCUCGGGGCUCAACCCCGAGUCGGCCGUGCGAAUUGCUGGGCUCGAGCACUGUAGAGGCAGGCGGAACUCCGGGUGUAGCGGUGGAAUGCGUAGAGAUCCGGAAGAACACCGGUGGCGAAGGCGGCCUGCUGGGCAGUGGCUGACACUGAGGCGCGACAGCGUGGGGAGCAAACAGG